CAGCAGCCGCGGGAAUACGUAGGGUGCGAGCGUUAAUCGGAAUUACUGGGCGUAAAGCGUGCGCAGGCGGUUCGUUAAGACAGAUGUGAAAUCCCCGGGCUUAACCUGGGAACUGCAUUUGUGACUGGCGAGCUAGAGUAUGGCAGAGGGGGGUAGAAUUCCACGUGUAGCAGUGAAAUGCGUAGAGAUGUGGAGGAAUACCGAUGGCGAAGGCAGCCCCCUGGGCCAAUACUGACGCUCAUGCACGAAAGCGUGAGGAGCAAACAGGAUUAGAUACCCCUGUAGUCCCUGUCUCUUAUAA
rnacentral:rRNA from 1 species